rnacentral:rRNA from 1 species
UACGUAGGGGGCGAGCGUUGUCCGGAUUUAUUGGGCGUAAAGAGCUCGUAGGCGGUUUGGUAAGUUGGAUGUGAAAUCUCCAGGCUCAACUUGGAGGGGUCAUUCGAUACUGCCAUGACUAGAGUUCGGUAGGGGAGUGUGGAAUUCUGGUGGAGCGGUGGAAAUGCGCAGAUAUCAGGAGGAACACCGGUGGCGAAGGCGGUUCUCUGGGGCCUUACCUGACGCUGAGGAGCGAAAAGCAUGGGGGAGCGAACAGG